UCCAGGUGUGGUGGCUCACGCCUGUAAUCCCAGCACUUUGGGAGGAUGAGGUGGGUGGAUCACCUGAGGUCAGGAGUUUGAGAGCAGCCUGACCAAUAUGGUGAAACCCCAUCUCUA
rnacentral:SRP_RNA from 1 species